rnacentral:rRNA from 1 species
GACGAACGCUGGCGGCGUGCUUAACACAUGCAAGUCGAGCGGUAAGGCCCUUUCGGGGGUACACGAGCGGCGAACGGGUGAGUAACACGUGGGUGACCUGCCUUUAGCUCUGGGAUAAGCCUGGGAAACUGGGUCUAAUACCGGAUAUGACUCCGCGGUGCAUGCUGUGGGGUGGAAAGCCUUGUGCGGCUGGAGAUGGGCCCGCGGCCUAUCAGCUUGUUGGUGGGGUGAUGGCCUACCAAGGCGACGACGGGUAGCCGGCCUGAGAGGGCGACCGGCCACACUGGGACUGAGACACGGCCCAGACUCCUACGGGAGGCAGCAGUGGGGAAUCUUGCGCAAUGGGCGAAAGCCUGACGCAGCGACGCCGCGUGAGGGAUGACGGCC